rnacentral:lncRNA from 1 species
CGUUGUCUUUGAUGUUCACCAUUCAGUCUAUUGAAAGUCAAUAUUACAGUCAUACGGCGUCAAAUUUAUUAUUAUGUUUUAUCAUCAAUUUGUGAAUUUAACACAGAUAAUUUUAAUUUUCAUGGAUCAUCUGACGUUGUCUUUGAUGUUCACCAUUCAGUCUAUUGAAAGUCAAUAUUACAGUCAUACGGCGUCAAAUUUAUUAUUAUGUUUUAUCAUCAAUUUUUGAAUUUAACACAGAUAAUUUUAAUUUUCAUGGAUCAUCUGACGUUGUCUUUGAUGUUCACCAUUCAGUCUAUUGAAAGUCAAUAUU